UUAUCGGGCUCACCAAAUACAGCUGCAGUAUGAAUUCCAUCUUCUACACAACAGUAAACCAGAAUGUUCAUGUUCACAGCGUUCAUCUCCCAUCCUGUUGUCUAACGCACAUGGUUUUUUUAAACUUUUCUAAGAUUGCAUGAGAUUCUGCAACACAACUGAUUAUAAAAACACUUGAAGUUUUUACCUUUUUUUUUACUUUCCAACUCUCGUGAAUGUACAGAGGACUUUCCAGAAGCUACAUGAUGUGUGAUAUUUCAGCUGAUGAAAUGUAGAUGUAUAGAGCUUACUCACAUAGCAUAUUGGUAUAUCAAAAUGAAAUGCAAGGAACCAAAAAUAACAUAAUUGAAGGCAGUAAAAGUGAAAUUAAAUAGGAAGAUCAUCAGUCAAGGAAGACCCACUGGAGAGGACAGAAAAUGAAGCAGUGUUUUAUCAUGUGUAUUUCAGCAGGUCUUCUUGAAAUUUAACUAAAAAUAUGACUGCUCUCUCUUCAGAGAACUGCUCUUUUCAGUACCAGUUACGUCAAACAAACCAGCCCCUAGAUGUUAACUAUCUGCUAUUCUUGAUCAUACUUGGGAAAAUAUUAUUAAAUAUCCUUACACUAGGAAUGAGAAGAAAAAACACCUGUCAAAAUUUUAUGGAAUAUUUUUGCAUUUCACUAGCAUUCGUUGAUCUUUUACUUUUGGUAAACAUUUCCAUUAUAUUGUAUUUCAGGGAUUUUGUACUUUUAAGCAUUAGGU
rnacentral:lncRNA from 10 species